rnacentral:misc_RNA from 1 species
GUUUUUCAGUUUCGCUACCCUCUUCAUCUUCCUAUCUAGAGUUUAAAAGCAUACUUUAAAGAUGAGAAUCAAUGUAGAUGUGAAUUUCAAGUGUCAGCCGAUUGCAAAGGUUUUCAGUCUCACUUACAAUCUCCUCUAAACAGAUCUGGUGCAUCUCACAUUCGAUUUCUUUUUAAGAUUCAUGUAAGUAAAUUGUUGCAGGAAGGUCUACGGUUACUCCAUACAAUUUUGUUGAUCUGAGAUUUGUCACACUUCUUUAUCACUUCCAAAUCUCUUCUAAAUCACAACAGAGAGGGCUGCAAAAAUAUUAUUUAGAUAAAAAGCAUUUUGAAGUUUAUCUAUAGAUGAUCGGCUUUAGUUAUAUGGUGAGUAGUUCAUAAGUUUUAAUUUCUUUUUGAAAUCAUUCUUCGUUAUUUUUGUAUACCACUUUAAUCCGAUAACCUUUUCUAGGUACGACAAUGUCACUGCUCAUGGUUAUAUUUUUGAAUGGAAUAGUAAUAUAUCUAUGGUACAGAUGCAAAUCUUUUCAAAAAAGUUAUGCUUUUCGUAUUUUUUGUUUUUUUCCUAAAACAUGAACCGAGAACCUAAAAACUAGAGUAUGAGAGAGUGGGCAUAUGCAUGAAGAUAUAUCAGAUGGCCUCUGAUAACUAUGAUGAACAUGAUUACUAAAUUUUCUUCAGUACACUUUGAAAGUAGAACAUGCCUCUCGAAGUGGACUACGAGAAAGAAUUGGUGAGGACGUAGAAAAAGAUGAAGCAAAAUCUGAAAUCUAAAUCUCCCUCUACUACAACUUUGAAGAUAAAGCGCAAGAACUCCUACACGAUUAGAUAUACAUUGGAUCUAUAAAGUUUUGAAAGUGAGAUGCAGUGUUGAAAAAUCAGAACCAGUGAAUGAAGAUGUGGAAGAAGAAGGUCAACAAUGGAGAAAGGGGAACUUGAAAAUCAAGCAUAGUCAAAAUAUACUCUUUGAAGAAACUACAAACGAGACUAGAGCGUGAGAAGGUUAAAAGAACAAACUAGAUAUAGCAGAAACUACAAACUAGAUAUCCAUAUAACACUUGUACAUGUUUGAACCGAAAUGUGUUAAAAAGAGUAUAUACUAAACGAGAU